UCCAGAAGACUCUGCAAUUUUCAUCGACUUGUGUCUGUUGACUUUGACCGUGGCUUCCAGCCAUUCCUGGGCCUUUCCUCAUUCUGCGAUUGCAACAGCCCGGCCUUGGCUAGAUUUUGCCAUUCCACUCCACGAGAGCAUUUUAAGGCUUGAAAUCUGCCUGGAGCGCUGAAACUAAGUUGCUUUGAGUCAGGUGCAUUCGGGAGGGAGGCAAAGGUGAAAUGACUUCAUCUGACGGAGGAGCAACGAUCCGAAAGCCUGUGAUUUCAAAUAAACCUGUUGGACUGUAA